rnacentral:rRNA from 1 species
CUGAGCCAGGUUCAAACUCUCUACAGGAGGCAGCAGUGAGGAAUCUUGGUCAAUGGAGGAAACUCUGAACCAGCUACGCCGCGUGCAGGAGGAAGGCCUGAUUUGGUCGUAAACUGCUUUUGUAGGGGAAUAAAGGAUUCUACAUUGAGAAUUUUGAAUGUACUCUACGAAUAAGUAUCGGCAAACUCCGUGCCAGCAGCCGCGGUAAUACGGAGGAUACGAGCGUUAUCCGGAUUUAUUGGGUUUAAAGGGUGCGUAGGCGGUUCAUUAAGUCAGUAGUGAAAUCUUGCAGCUUAACUGUUCAAAUUGCUAUUGAUACUGAUGGACUGGAAUUAUAUCGGAGUAGCUGGAAUAUGUGGUGUAGCGGUGAAAUGCAUAGAUAUCACAUAGAACCCCGAUCGCGAAGGCAAGCUACUAGGUCUAUAUUGACGCUGAGGCACGAAAGCGUGGGGAGCAAACAGGAUUAGAUACCCUGGUAGUCCACGCUGUAACGAUGAUCACUAACUAUUGGAUCUUCAGUGUAUUCAGUGGUAAAGCGAAAGUAUUAAGUGAUCCACCUGGGGAGUACGAUCGCAAGAUUGAAACUCAAAGGAAUUGACGGGGGCCCGCACAAGCGGUGGAGUAUGUGGUUUAAUUCGAUGGUACGCGAGGAACCUUACCAAGGCUUAAAUGCGUUACGAAAUAAACUAGAAAUAGUUUGCUUCUUAGGACGGAACGCAAGGUGUUGCAUGGUUGUCGUCAGCUCGUGCCGUGAGGUGUUAGGUUAAGUCCUUUAACGAGCGCAACCCCUGUCGUUAGUUACCAUCAGGUAAUGCUGGGAACUCUAACGAGACUGCCGGCGCAAGCCGAGAGGAAGGUGGGGAUCACGUCAAAUCAUUACGACUCUUAUGUCUUGGGCCACACACGUACUACAAUGGUCGGUACAAUGGGUUGCCACUGAGCGAUCAGGAGCAAAUCUCGAAAAUCCGAUCUCAGUUCGGAUUGGAGUCUGCAACUCGACUCUAUGAAGUUGGAAUCGCUAGUAAUCGCGUAUCAGCCAUGACGCGGUGAAUAUGUUCUCGGGCCUUGUACACACUGCCCGUCAAGCCAUGGAAAU